rnacentral:rRNA from 1 species
UACUCUUGACAUCCAGUGAACUUAGCAGAGAUGCUUUGGUGCCUUCGGGAACACUGAGACAGGUGCUGCAUGGCUGUCGUCAGCUCGUGUUGUGAAAUGUUGGGUUAAGUCCCGUAACGAGCGCAACCCUUAUCCUUAUUUGCCAGCACUUCGGGUGGGAACUUUAAGGAGACUGCCGGUGACAAACCGGAGGAAGGUGGGGACGACGUCAAGUCAUCAUGGCCCUUACGAGUAGGGCUACACACGUGCUACAAUGGCGUAUACAGAGGGCUGCGAACUUGCGAGAGUAAGCGAAUCCCAGAAAGUACGUCGUAGUCCGGAUUGGAGUCUGCAACUCGACUCCGUGAAGUCGGAAUCGCUAGUAAUCGUGAAUCAGAAUGUCACGGUGAAUACGUUCCCGGGCCU